rnacentral:rRNA from 3 species
AGACCCGAAACCCGGUGAUCUAGCCAUGGGCAGGUUGAAGGUUGGGUAACACUAACUGGAGGACCGAACCGACUAAUGUUGAAAAAUUAGCGGAUGACCUGUGGCUGGGGGUGAAAGGCCAAUCAAACCGGGAGAUAGCUGGUUCUCCCCGAAAGCUAUUUAGGUAGCGCCUCGUGAAUUCAUCUCCGGGGGUAGAGCACUGUUUCGGCUAGGGGGCCAUCCCGGCUUACCAACCCGAUGCAAACUGCGAAUACCGGAGAAUGUUAUCACGGGAGACACACGGCGGGUGCUAACGUCCGUCGUGAAGAGGGAAACAACCCAGACCGCCAGCUAAGGUCCCAAAGUCAUGGUUAAGUGGGAAACGAUGUGGGAAGGCCCAGACAGCCAGGAUGUUGGCUUAGAAGCAGCCAUCAUUUAAAGAAAGCGUAAUAGCUCACUGGUCGAGUCGGCCUGCGCGGAAGAUGUAACGGGGCUAAACCAUGCACCGAAGCUGCGGCAGCGACACUGUGUGUUGUUGGGUAGGGGAGCGUUCUGUAAGCCUGUGAAGGUGUGUCGUGAGGCAUGCUGGAGGUAUCAGAAGUGCGAA